ACGGAGAGGAGUUCGAGUGUUCGAGACCAGCAGCGAGACCGAAACCCGCCGCCCUGCCACUGCCAGUGUCCCAGAAGCAGCUGUGGAAAGAAGGGUUCUGUUCUGGCCGAAGUUCCUUUGAUAUGGCAUCGAAAGCUCCUUGUCGCAACUUAAUUUUGGAGUACAGUGCAUCUUUGUGGUCUCACAGAAAUCCCUUCUGCCUCACAAGCUCGAGCAAAUACCCUCAGAAGUCCAUGUCCAUGGCAAUCUGGUGGCAAUCACUACGUACUGUCUCAAUUCUGUUGGCACAGCUGAUGUAAACACCUCUACGGAUCACUACGUGGGAACUUUUGGGCAGUCUUGAAAUCGGUUUUUGCGACCCCUAAGUUAUUUUUUUAAGUUAAUGUAGUUUAAGUUAAGGCUUACAUAAACACGUCAAAAAUAGUUUGGUGGUGAUGUCUAUGUUUUGUGUUUUGGAUGAAGCCAAUGAAUAACGCACGAUCGUCAAGACUAAAACUGAUUCGAGCUGGCAUUGUGUUCAUUGCUAUUGCCGGAGAAAGUGUUCAUGUGACCUCAACUAUACUGCAGUCCCCUGCCCCUCCCAGUUCCAGAAUGAGAAGAAAGGAAAAAUAAAGGGAUGUAAGUAUGGAAGGAGGGAAUGCAAGGUAAAGGGGACCUCAAUUCAAGGCUCCUUGGAGCUCUGCCUACUUGACCACUGAAGAACAGACCAGUGGAGUUGCCUGGCAUGCUGCCCAGGGAAAAAGUGUUGUACAGUUGAUUGGCAAGGCAUCCCUCACAGAGACCGCAGCAGCCUUCACCCCUUGCUGCUUUGAAGUUUAUGCUAUUUAGAAAUGAAUAGCUAGCCUUUCAGGUCUUGUGAUAUCAUCAAAGUUGGAGAUGGAGGUGAAAAGAGACAAGUCUUAUGGGGUGAAUUUAUUCCAGACUAGUUUCACUUUCAGCUUCCUCAGGGGAACUGAGUCAGCCUGUUUCACUGUUUAUUAAAGAAAAAGACAUUAUUAAUAAGGGGGGAUGAAGCAAAGAGAACUGACUGAAAAUUAGUGAGAGAACAAAUGACUGGCCAGUCUCGUUGGCUAUUUUUCAUCAAGGUGUAUCAUCCACUUGUUUUAUUAUGAUAUGCCCUGAAUUAUGUUGUUCAAACAGUGUUAGUUUGUUAGUGUUCAUCCUACAUGGUUUUUAAUAUGUUUUUCACUCAUGUGUGACUUCCAUGCAGAUACUUCUGUAAGAUUCAUAUUUCAAUGAAGACAAUACUCGCAUAUCAAUCUGUUUUCACCUAAUAUGUUUGCAUCACUGCUCACAAGUGGUCAUCUCUUUCACUUCAACCUGCUUCUUGCCUAUUUCUGCUAAGUCUUGAGAGAGCCUCAGAACAUUAAAGCCUGUCCACGUGAUCAACCACAGCUUGAUGGGCACUGCCUGCAACUGGGCUAAGUCCACAGGCACAACUGUUUUGUUGCCCACAUGGUGUUGAUCUGGCCCAGUCAUAACCUAAACUACAACCAGUAUUUUAGAGGGCACAGCUCAAUCAUCUAGAUGCAGCUUUACAGGCACCCAGUAUCACAAGCUUUUGAGGUUCAUGGGAGACCUGCAUGAAAAGAAAUGCCCCUUUCCGAGGCACUUGAUGAAGACGUCGCCUAAAGUUGGGAGAAUACCCUAUAGCUGUGUGGCCUCAACAUUCCUUAUUUUAUCAGCCUGUGAAUCUGUGGCAGGUGUUAUCCCUUGCCCCAGGUAACAGAGCCACUGUGAUGUCUGGGUUUCCAGUUUACCUUCCCCAUGUGUCACCAGCUGCCUACUACUCAACCAGCCCAGAGGAUGAACAGCUGCAGGAGUGUCAUGCAGACUGCAGAGGUCUGUGGAAUCGGUGAUCAUCCCUGCAAAUCCACAUGCCCUACCACACCAUGGAGGUGCUGUGUAACCAAGACCCUUUGAACCUACUGUGUCCACGCCUUGGUGCCAAAGACAAAAGUGUUGGGACAGGAGACUUAAAUGUACACAAGACCACCACAGGAUCCAGGUCAACACUCAGGGAAGAGAAGGGUUUGAGGCUGUCUGUUCAUCUUGUUCUGCCAGGGCAUCAAACCCUGAAUGUCAUGUGUUGAGAGUAAGCCAUUUACAAUACAGGAUACACUCCCAUCUCUCAAAUACACCCCUUCUCAAAUAAAUGCCACUAGUUCACCACCUGUCAUGUUGCUUAGUGCGCCCUGGUCUCACCUGUGCAUCUCUCAUUGCACUUUUGUCCUUGAUUGUGUAUCUUUGUCCCCUUGCCUUACUCUUGCAAUUUAUCUUUGCAAUUUAUCUUUGAUUAAUUUUACAUUUAUUUCUUUACCUUAGGCUUACCCCUCUCCUCUAAUCAAAUUUGCAUAUAAUAAAUAUAAAGAAACAUAAUAA